CCCUUUUAAAGCAAAAUUACAUCAUAUGCAUUGUCAGAGAUAACAUGGAAUAAUACAUCAAUAAUUGGUUAGGUGUUAAGUGCUUGCUCUAAUGCUCUGCCUACUGUAGGUGAUGUCACCGGGGCCAUGAGGGUCUCCCACGGUUUCCCGGCGCCAUCUUGAUGCACGAGGUAGUUAGUCGACGUUAGGAGGGGAAGGGAGGGGGAAGGAGGGAUUAGAAGCUUCUAGCAGCCAUCUUGAUUAAAAUAUGUGUUUAGUUUUAUGCGAUACAUAUAUUUCAUGAAAUGAGUAAAUAGACAUUUUUCUCUAUCUAGGAAAUAUGUGCAGACCUUAUUUCCACAACAGUU